GACGAACGCUGGCGGCGUGCUUAACACAUGCAAGUCGAACGAUGAAACCUAGCUUGCUAGGUCGAUUAGUGGCGAACGGGUGAGUAACACGUGACUAACCUGCCCCUUUCUCUGGGAUAACGCUCCGAAAGGAGGGCUAAUACCGGAUACUCACACCUAGGCACAUGCAUUGGAGUGGAAAGUUUUUCGGGAAGGGAUGGGUUCGCGGCCUAUCAGCUUGUUGGGGAGGUAACGGUUCACCAAGGCGACGACCGGUAGCCGGCCUGAGAGGGGGAACGGCCACACUGGGACUGAGACACGGCCCAGACUCCUACGGGAGGCAGCAGUGGGGAAUAUUGCACAAUGGGCGCAAGCCUGAUGCAGCGACGCCGCGUGAGGGAUGAAGGUCUUCGGAUUGUAAACCUCUUUCAGUAGGGACGAAGCGAAAGUGACGGUACCUAAAGAAGAAGCACCGGCUAACUACGUGCCAGCCGCCGCGGUAA
rnacentral:rRNA from 1 species